GAUGUUGAUGCACGUGAGGAGGAAGGCAUAGGAGAGGGUUGAUAUAAAAUGCAGUUACAGGCUCUUAUGCUUUCCAAAGCGGGGGAUGAUUCAAUGAU
rnacentral:miRNA from 1 species